UGCAUGCUAAAAAUACCACCUUUCCCUUGGCUGCAUAAUGCUGCGAGGCAGAUGCAGUUCCUUUAGUCCUGAUAGAGAUGUACUGCGAUCCAGACGCACUGGCAGGUGACCAUGGUAACCCGAUUGUAUCUGUGUAUGUGUGUCUGAACGAGCCCUAAAGCUCAUGCAAACAGCAGCAUGUCGAGGCCAGGCUCUCCUGGGGCCCGAACUGAAAUCAGCCUUGACGUGAGCCAUCCGUCUCCACUCCAUGAUCUUUCUAGAAGUGCACUGCUGACAUCUUCACAAGAACGUCCACUAGCUUGGAGAGGACAAUAGUUUCUGAAUGUUGCUUCUGGGCAUGCUGUAGGCCACAGAAAAGCAGGACUAAAGCAAGACUGGAUGACACUCUGGAGACCUUCUGGCAGAUGUCACAGAGACAUGUGAUGGCUGGAGACGCACAUUAGAAACACAAGAGCUAGGAAACACAAGUGUGCAUCCUUGGAUCAUAAACAUGACACAUGAUGCUUCAAAACCGAGAUUAUUUUUUCCCCUUUUAUCUUUGUCUGUGGUAAAGGUAUACAUCUACUCUAUAUGUUGUAAUCUAUUUAACAAAAUAUUCAUCUUAAUUUGAAUUUUAAACCAGAAGUGGCCAUGGCCUUGCUAGAAAUGGUAACAUUAUCAGAAUGAUUGUGCAGUUUUCCUCACAUGAUUACUCAAAUUUAUAAUUAUUCUCAGCUAUUAAUGUGCACAAGACUGUUUUUAAUCCCGCUCCAGCAAUUUGCUUGCACCUUCCAUUAAUCUUUUAAUACAUUUAUUUAUGUACUUUUGUAAAUAAAUUUACUAUUUCUGCAAAACAAAAACAAAUUACUAACCUAAUUUAAACCAAAAUGACAAUGGCCAAGCAGUUACAAUGCUGCAGUUGCAGAGCUGCAGACUCGUUAGCAAAAAAACAUCUUUAAUACAGUCAAUUUACCUAGUAUUAAUUGCAUUAUAAUAACCUUAUUAUAAUAAACCAAAUGUUUCUUGCUUGUUUUAAGCUUAAAGCUUCUUCUAGCUACAAGACAAAACCACCAGAAUGAGAAAAUACAAAACAGCAAAAAAGCAACUAAAACAUGAUUACUAAUCUUAUAUGGUAUGUGAUAUAUUAUUAUAUCAUGAUAUAGACAAAGAAAAUUUCCCCUCUAUUCAAGAUAUUUUCACUUAGGUUUUUUGUAGUGCAGAGAUUACUGUGGUCUCUAGUAGAAUCUCAUAUCUGACAUUUUAAUUUUGACUGUUUGUGGGCAUCCAGGUCCUGAUACACAUCUGUAAUUUUAACCUUCGAGAGCCUGUCGGGAAACUUUCUGGAAAAAGAAAUUGUCUUGUAUUUAUAUCUACAUCCUUAUCUGUUUAGACUAAAUCUUUUUGUUUAUCAUGAAUAAUGAUAGUAAUGUGUAAUACACAUACUAAUAUUUCCUCCUAAUUAUGAAUGAGUUUUAAGUCAUGCAUACUGCAUACCGUAUGUGUGUGUACUGCAUACACAACCUAACUGACUACACUUUCUAUAAAAGAUAAGGAAGAAAAAACCUUUAGUCCACACCACUGUUUUUUUUUAAAUGAGAUACGUACCCUUCUUCAAUUUUAAAGGACAUUGCACUUGUCUAAAUGAAUGCUUCCUGCUCAUGCAGGAAGUAAAAUACAGCAAUUAGCAUGCUGCCUCUCCACAUGUCUCGUAGCUAAAGAUAAGACGUGCUGGCAGCACAGCAGGCCUCUAAUUCCCUCAUUCAGUUGUCUCUGGUCUCACUGAUUAUGGAUCUAUCCUGUAACUUAACCUGCAUCUUUCUCCCAGCAAGACAGCCGUCCAAUGAACAGCCUUUCCUCCACACACAUCUCUUCUUCCUUUCUUUCUUCCCAAACAACUUCCUUUCAGCUGCUCAUGCUUUGAAACCCGGCUACGCUUCACAUCUGGCAAAAACAAUCCCGAGCGGCUUUAAACAACAACAACGAAGAAGAAGCAGCAUGAUGCUCUUGAAACGCUAUCAAGCUACGAGCAUAGAUGUUUCGGCGAAUAUAUGCUGGAGAGACAUGGCGGUAUCUUUAAGGAGGAGGCUGAGGUGAAAAUCAUAGCAUGGCCCAAGGCAGCAACACCACAACACACGGAAACAUUUUGCCCCCUGAUCUCUGCACCCUGAGAAUGAGUGGUGGGACGCUCCAGGGCAAGGACGGCUCUGCAGGAGGAAAAGUAUGGAAAGGUCACACUUAAGGUUUCCUCUGCAUCUUGUUCUUCCUUCCUUUAUCUACAUUUCUUCAAUUUUUCAUCUUGUCCAUCCUGAUAGGGUUCAAAUAGAAAAAAUUAAUAAACAAAAAAAUAUAUAUUUUUAAACAGGGAAAUAUCUCUAAGGAAGUGUUCACUGAUUUGAAUAACAGCAUCCCGAAGAAAUGUGCAAAAAAAAAUGCUACACAGAAAUUAUGCAAUAAAUCAGGUAAGACAUUUUUUGUAUCUAACAUAAAAAUAAUCGCCUUCUUCAAUGUCUCAAGACAAAGAUUUUAAAUUAACAUUCUGAUCUGGUAUAUAUUACAGUAAUCAUGUUUUCAUUUCCAUUCCUAGUAGAAUAUCAUUUGGAGACCAUCCAAAGAGAUCCCCUCUGGUGAAGGAAAACCACAUUAUUGGUGAUUAUUGUGGAGGCUCUUGCUAUAUGAAUGUAUAGGCAUCCACAGUUGUGGUAAUGAUUGAAAUGAUGUACAUAGAGCAAGUAGCUGUGUACAUGACUACAACCAGCUUUAUGUCUCUUAUCAGUUUGCUUUUCACCUAAGUAGAUCCUGUUUCAAAGAGUGACGUAGCUGUGUAUUGUUGGUAAUGAGGGUGUAUUGGUUUUUAACGAGGACCACAUAAAUAAAGACAGGGACGACAGCCUUUGAGUCGCAAAACAACAAGGGAUAAAGUGGAGCUCGGCGCAGACUAUGGAACCCAGUGGGAUUCACACACUGACAUGCUCACACUUACACACACACACACACACACUUGCCUGUUCAAGUGUGGGAGCAGUUACAAGUGUGCAGAGAGAAGCACAGUGCAAACUCGCCUACGGGUGCUUGCUAAAGAUGUAGUUGAAUUCUCCUGCUGCCAAAUAAGACCCUGUUGGAUGGUUUCUAAACACACACAAACACUAUGUAGCAUUUGGUACAAAACUUGCAACAAAAAAAAAUGUUCAGAAACAUGUGCUCUUAAAAAACAAGUCAAAGUAUGCCUGAGCAUCCCUUGUGAAUAAGGCCUUGUUGGAUUCCUGCGGAGAAUUUACGCCAGUGCCUGAAGCCUGCUUCCAUCAGUCAACACUCCUGUGCACCUGGAAGGUUCAGAGACCCCAUUCACCGCAGCCAUGACCUGUCCCUUGCAAUCGCGCUUUGACUCCUUUCUUCUGCCACGCUUUUCAGAGCACACACCUGGCCCAAACCACAUUUUACGCUUAAAUAAUCAGUUCGUUUGCACCGAUUUAAAUCCCCAAUGCCUGCGCACGAAGCCAGAUGCCCUGAUCAGCUUUUUGAGGACAUUGUUUUAAGUUUUUGCUAGCUUUAGCUUUGCUGCACUACUUUUCUUUUAAACUUGGGUAGGACAUAUUGCUCACAGUGGACUUAUGUGAAAGCAUUUAAGCCUUUCUGAACAAACCAGUAUGCAGACAAAAACACUUUCACACAUGUCCAGGCUUGUAAAGUGGAGGCCAAUCUUUUAAUACCCAAACAUAACUAUACUGAGGGACACUAAUGUGUUAGAUACACAUUGAAGAGCUAUCAAUAGACAUGUCUGUGUGUGUCAUAUGAUCACAAUACACACUGUACUUAACCUGAAACAUCAAAUUGCUCGAAGAUUACAAUAAUCUCAAGUGAAAACAGAAACCGCCGAUAUUUUCAGCCUGACUCGGGACUGAAUUGUAUGUGCUGCCAACUGAAUCUAGCUACUGCUAAUCGCAGAAAAGGUCAGAGUAAAAAUAAGGUGUGGCAGUUUGCCAAGAUGGUGUCUAGUGGCAAGGCUUUAGGUGGCCUUCUUGCCUCUGGGUUAAAUUUACACAUUGCGAUUAAUUGUGGCUUGUUUACUCAGGAUGGAAAGGUGCCGGUAGAGAAUCCUGGGCAUUGCACACCUUCUCCGGCCGCAGUGCUGUGGGCUAUGUCUUUGAGUUUAAUGGGGCCGUGAUAACUAUCAAAUGGACAUGGAUUACACACUAUAUCAUUAUACACACCAUUGAUUUUGCCCUUGCUUUGCCAGACAAGCAAUAUUAUAUGUCCAAAAUGACCUUGCACAGAAAUUCAAGCAGUCCAGGACAGGCUUACCAGUGUGUGUUCUGCGCAUACUAUUGCCAAGCCGUCUGAAACAUCAUUGCGAGACAUUGUAUGUUUUAAAGACUGCAUUGGGGAAAUGAAUAGCACCAUUAACGAAAAGGAAUAAGUGAUGACUUUUGUGAGAGCAAGUGUUUUGACGUUUAAAAAAAAAGCAGUCUUAUGAGCUGCUAGGUUUCGCUUGUCAUCAAAACCAUUCAAUGCCAAGGAUCUCUAGAGUAUGUUAAUUCUUUGGCAGUCACUUAAUUACACUUUUUACUGCUUUUCUGUCACAAGUCAGGGUUAGAAGAGGUUUUCGAGGGGAAGGUAUAGCAUAUGGUUUUGUCUUCAAUCCAAUAAGUUGCACUAAGAACUCUUUGUAAGGAUUUAGGGCUGUGAUUUCUUUUGGUGAGAAUUGUGUCAUUUAAAACCUGAUUCAAUAAAAAAAAAAUUAUCAUUUAUAUUCCAAAAAUAAACAAUAAUACCCAUCUUAAUUUUUAUAGAAAUCCUUAAAAACAGUUUUUAAGACAUUUAUUUAAGAAAAUUAUUUAUUUACUAAAUAGAUAUACGGUCAAAGCAACUACAGUUCAAUGCUUACUGUCUGUGGCACUCGUGUCGAUUGCCAAUAGAUGUACUAGUGUUUGAUGUACCAGUGUACCCUUCUGAAAAACGUACUGUCUCAGCUACACUGGGAGUUCUUCUGACACCGUUUGGGUCUGGUCCAGCUGUGACCAAGAUGUAGGCCUAAUCGAUUUUUUUUGGCUGGUCAAGAAUGAGUAUGGUAACAGUCUCAUGUCCUUCAUGUUGUACUCUAAAGACAAGUGGACACUUAUCAGGUUGCAGAUAUUUGUUGCUUAUGAAGUAUUGGAUCUUGUUGGUAAUUACUGAUAUAAAGUGCAAAUAGAAUAUGUAAACGUUUGGCUAUUUAUUGAUUAUAUGUUAAAAUGACUUACAUAUUUUUUCCAAUAUCUAUGAUGUUGGACUGAUACAAAGGAAUUAGUCAUAUAGGAGAAAAUAAUUUCCCUUAUUUUGGAAUAAGUUAUUUGGAUAAAAUCCUAGCAGUAGGAUUCUGAAGCAAAAGUCUUCCCACAGGAACUCGAGAGAAUGCCUGAUAUAAGUUCCCUUAAGAGAGGACAAAAAGGAGAGGAGGGUGGAUGAUGAUGAUGUGUGUGUGUGUGUGUGUGUGUGUGUGUGUGUGUGUGUGUGUGUGUGUGUGUGUGUUCGGUGGGAGGAGGUGCUCAUGCAGCUAUCCAACCUCAUUUAAAAAAUCGGAACUUCUUUUUCUUAAGUCAGCAUUUCGAAUCAGACCGUGUCUGCACCCAAUUAACGCGCCAUUUUGUUAAAUGCUAAAUUUACAAAUUCGACAUACAGCCCCCUUUUCUCAGUAGAGAUAGGGCCUAGCAUAAGGAAAAAGAAGAGCGGGAAAGAUUUAAGAGCAUUUCGCAGUGUCAAACAUCUAAACUCAUCGGGAAACUUGGCACGAUUAGACCGGGGUGAAGAUGAGGAGGAGGAGAAGGAGGAGGAGGAGGAGGAAAAGGAAGAAGUUGGGGGUGCCAAUGAAAAUGUUCAUGCGGGCGGCCUUAUUUCUCUCUUACAGUAAUGUGGUUAUCGCGGGUGUUGUGGGUGAUCCUUUUAAACGGUUUGUAUGCGGGGAUAAAAAGCGCAUGGAGGAAAUAAACUUAGUUCUGGCUUAAAUCUGCAAAUCCUCACUGGUCAUGGAAGAUGAUCCCAAUUUGCUUCUGAGCAGUGCUGUCAGAUCUCACAAUAAUAAAAAAAUGAAGAUUUGAAGCAGCAAUUAUGUUCAAUUAAUGUUGGAGUGCACAGACUGUGUGACAGCAUGCAGAUGUUUGGGUUCUUGAUCGCUUGUUUCACCUGAUGAAGUGCGUACCCCAUGCAACAGCCAUAAAACAUUGCUUAAUCCUUCCCCAUGUUUACUUAUCAUAUCUGCGGUGCAAUCAUGCCAUAAAGUGAUUAUCACAUUGACUCAAUUGCAUUAAAUUGAAAUUUUCAGACUUGCGUGACAUUUGCCCUAAUUGGAGUUAAUUUGAAUUUGACAUUCUUGUGUCUUGAAGUCACUGAGCAUGUUUUAAGAAGAAAAAUAAAACUGAUUAUAAUUAUGAUUAACAGAUCACGUUAGUUGCCAAUCCUUAUUUUAUCACCUUUAUCACCUUCAUUUCAGCACACUGAUGUACUCUGACUGUUUAUUUAAAAUGCAAGUUUUAGGGUUUUUUUUACAAACUGGACAAUCCAACAGUAAUAAUAAUAAUUUACAAUUGAAAAUAAACUUCAAUUCAACUCAAGGAAAAACAGAUGCCUUUAAAAAUGCUGAAACUGUUAGCUAACUCUCACCUGUUUUUUAAUUGUUUGUGUCAGUGUUGUUAAAUAUUUGUUUUAUUAAGCUUUUGAACACUCAAUGUGGCAGACAACGUACUAUCUGUGAGCAAUAACUAAGAUAUUACAUAACCUGAAUAAACACAUUUGUUGCUUGAGACAAUGCGAAUGGAAAGAAAAGCCGACUUUUUAUCAUCAACUAUAAUGUUAUAGAUGAGAAGCAUUUAUGUUUUUUGUCAUAAAGAUUUCCCCAUUUUAUAUAUUUACAGGAAGGCCAGAAACUUCAAAACUCAGAUGCAUAGUUGUGUAAUUGAUAUAAUGCACCAACAUACCAAAUAGCCUCCUUUAUACUACAAACCUCUGUAAUAAAUAUUAAUAUUUUAAUAUUCUUAAUAAACAAUUUUUAAUAGAAUGAAGAUUAAGUGUUGAAGGUUUCAAGUGGAUUAUAAGUAAUACAUAUUUCUUGGUUAGUUUUAUGUUGAUUGUGGGCCUGAAUAUUCUGUUGAAUUCAAAACUGGACUUCUACCAGGCCAAAAUCUGAUACAUUUGUUCUUUAGCCUCUUUUUGGUGGUGCAUGCAGUGUGGGCAGAAGCGUUGUCUUGUUAAAAAAUAAUAUAUAGAAAUAUAUAUUAGAAAACAACUUUUCAGUUGUGGGAAGCCAGUUAGCCAGUCUUUCUGUAAUAUUCUUCUGUAUUCCAAAUCAUUCAUUGACUUUUAACAGUGAAGCCUUUAAUCAGUCCCCACACCAGAGAAGGCUUCCAACACCAUAACACCUCAUCCUCCAUGCCUAACUGUGGUAAAGAUGCAUUCAUUACUGUAUUUCUCACUAGAUCUCUGAAGACAUCUCUCUGGAGUAUCACCAUACAACUCAUAACGUGAGUCAUCCCUUUACACAACUCUGCUAAACCACUCCAACCUUCUAUAGUCUCAGGUGUGCAUUUGUUUAAUUCUUGGUCAUUUUAUGGAUUAUGAUUGGCUCAGAUUUAGUGUCUAUGACUAUACAUACUGCUAUUUCCAGUGCUUAAUGACAUUAUAGAUUAUUUGUAUUUAAAAUCUGGCAAAAAAAACCUAAAUGGCAAAAUAUUAACUAGUAAAAUUUUUAAGCAAUAAAACAAUAGAACAAUUCAACAUUAAACAUCCAGAUGCAAGGACAUGUCAUGGAAAUACAUUUCGACAGUCACAUUGUUCCUGUGUUGACUAUUGUGUCUACCACUAAGGCAGCUAACAAAUGAAAGGGAGUUUCUCUCUCUCUCUCUCUCUCUCUCUCUCUCUCUCUCUCUCUCUCUCUCUCUCUCUCUCUCUCUCUCUCUCUCUCUCUCUCUCUCUCUCUCUCUCUCUCUCUCUCUCUCUCUCUCACACACACACACACACACACACACACACAAACCACUUUUUCAAUUGAAAAUAAAGUGAAUUAAAUGCUUGGUACUGAUCAGACUGGUUCAUGAUUAUGAUAAGAGUAAAGAUAUAGCAAUGUGAAAGCACAUCCUGUUCCCAUAUAAACGUUUAUUUGCUGCCUACACUAUCAUUACCCAAUCCCACAGAUCCUGAGCAUCCAUGCUGACAGCUCCCCGAUCCUCUCAGUAUCAGAACUCAAUGAUAAACUAUGCCUAAAAAAAAAAGGGAAAUAAAUAUAGAUCAAAUACUUUGACAAGAUUAUCCCAGUGGCACCAUAAGGAACACAACAGCUGUGCUGUGCAGUAACAACAGAGCAGCAGAAACAGCGUCUCACCUAUUAUUUCACGCCAUUUUACCCACAUCCGUCUGAUCAGCAGCACAAACAAACAGGAACACAUGGAGAUAAGGCCACACAGCCAGAGCACAAUGUGGUCUUGUUUGUUUUUCCACGCCGUUGUUUGUCUUCUCCAUAGCCUCAUGUUGAUCUAUUCACUGUGAAAAAAGUUUGCCUCAGACAACGCUGAUGUCAGCUUUCCUCAAACAAUAAGGUGCAUCAGACAAUUUGGCAAAUGUAACAUUAAGUGUAUUGUAGGUAGCUACAGUUAUUAAGCAUUAAUAUUUUUUGUAUCAAUGUAUUAAUAACAUUUAAGAAGCUUUAUUUUUAUUUUAUCUAUAUAAUUGAUUACUGUAUAUAGAAGUGAAUAUUUAAAUAACCAGAUAGGAUAAGGUACUGUAUAUUGCAUUGAGCUUAUUUUUGGAGUAGCUUUAAAACUGUGUCCUGACAUUUGCUCUUUUGGGUAAGGUGAAUGUUUUUAUUAAUUUAUAGUUAACACAGUAACAGCCUGAAUAAAUUCUGAUAAAUUGCACCUUUCUGAAAAAUGUGUGUGUGUGUGUUACAAUUUCCCAUAUAAAAAUUUAUAAAACUUGUCUAAAAAACCUAUCGAAGUAAUGUUUUAUAUAAUUUUUGGAAGGGAAGUCCAAACCUGUUUUUUUUUUAAUUGACACACACAUCAGGAAGUUUCCAACGGUUCUUGUUGUGAGUUUCGUACCACUUUACACUCUUGCACUCACUUCCACACUAGGAUUAUGUGGUAUGAACCAUGGCUCUGAUUUAGAGGACCAGUGGCAUACAGUGGCAUACAGUCUAUUUUAAUACUGAAAAUAGACAUAUCAUGUAAAAAUAAAUAAAAUAAAGUACUGCACAUAAAAUUUUACUUCACUAUGUAAAGUAAAGCAAAGUUUCUGGA